rnacentral:rRNA from 1 species
AAAUCGUGGUUAAGGAACUCGGCAAAAUGCCCCCGUAACUUCGGGAGAAGGGGGGCCUGAGGCGUGAAGGGAUUUACUCCUGGAGCGUUUGAAGGCCGCAGAGACCAGUGGGAAGCGACUGUUUACUAAAAACACAGGUCCGUGCUAAGUCGCAAGACGAUGUAUACGGACUGACGCCUGCCCGGUGCUGGAAGGUUAAGAGGAACGGUUAGCCGCAAGGCGAAGCUGAGAAUUUAAGCCCCAGUAAACGGCGGUGGUAACUAUAACCAUCCUAAGGUAGCGAAAUUCCUUGUCGGGUAAGUUCCGACCUGCACGAAUGGCGUAACGACUUCCCAGCUGUCUCAACCGCGAACUCGGCGAAAUUGCACUACGAGUAAAGAUGCUCGUUACGCGCAGAAGGACGGAAAGACCCCGUGACCUUUACUAUAGCUUUGUAUUGGUGUUCGGUGUGGCUUGUGUAGGAUAGGUGGGAGACUGUGAAGCUUGGACGCUAGUUCAGGUGGAGUCAUUGUUGAAAUACCACUCUGGUCACUCUGGAUAUCUAACUUCGGACCGUAAUCCGGUUCAGGGACAGUGCAUGGUGGGUAGUUUAACUGGGGCGGUUGCCUCCCAAAAAGUAACGGAGGCGCCCAAAGGUUCCCUCAACCUGGUUGGCAAUCAGGUGUCGAGUGUAAGUGCACAAGGGAGCUUGACUGUGAGAGUGACAACUCGAGCAGGGACGAAAGUCGGGACUAGUGAUCCGGCAGUGGCUUGUGGAAGCGCUGUCGCUCAACGGAUAAAAGGUACCUCGGGGAUAACAGGCUGAUCUUGCCCAAGAGUCCAUAUCGACGGCAUGGUUUGGCACCUCGAUGUCGGCUCGUCGCAUCCUGGGGCUGGAGUAGGUCCCAAGGGUUGGGCUGUUCGCCCAUUAAAGCGGUACGCGAGCUGGGUUUAGAACGUCGUGAGACAGUUCGGUCCCUAUCCUCUGCGCGCGCAGGAAAUUUGAGAAGAGCUAUCCCUAGUACGAGAGGACCGGGAUGGACGAACCUCUGGUGUGUCAGUUGUUCCGCCAGGAGCACCGCUGAUUAGCUACGUUCGGAACGGAUAACCGCUGAAAGCAUCUAAGCGGGAAGCCGGCUUCAAGAUGAGAUUUCCAUGACUUCGGUCGAGAGGCUCCCAGCUAGACUACUGGGUUGAUAGGCGGGAUGUGGAAGCGAGGACUAAAGACUCGUGGAGCUGACCCGUACUAAUAAGCCGAUAAACUAAAAGA